rnacentral:rRNA from 1 species
GCGGUAAUACGGAGGGGGCAAGCGUUGCUCGGAAUUACUGGGCGUAAAGCGAGCGUAGGCGGUUAAUCAAGUUGGUGGUGAAAGCCCGGGGCUCAACCCCGGAACUGCCAUCAAAACUGGUUAACUUGAGAUUGGUAGAGGAAAAUGGAAUUCCUAGUGUAGAGGUGAAAUUCGUAGAUAUUGGGAAGAACAUCGGUGGCGAAGGCGAUUUUCUGGGCCAACUCUGACGCUGAGGUUCGAAAGCGUGGGUAGCAAACAGGAUUAGAUACCCUGGUAGUCCACGCCGUAAACGAUGAGUGCUAGACGUUGGGAAUUAAUUUUUCAGUGUCGUAGUUAACGCAUUAAGCACUCCGCCUGGGGAGUACGGUCGCAAGAUUAAAACUCAAAGGAAUUGACGGGGACCCGCACAAGCGGUGGAGCAUGUGGUUUAAUUCGAUGCAACGCGAAGAACCUUACCUACUCUUGACAUACUAGAAACUUUUCAGAGAUGAAUUGGUGCCUUCGGGAAUCUAGAUACAGGUGCUGCAUGGCU